rnacentral:rRNA from 1 species
CAAAGAGUUUGAUCCUGGCUCAGGACGAACGCUGGCGGCGCGCCUAACACAUGCAAGUCGAACGGACUUCGUUUCACUGAAUUUGCGAAAACGCUCAGUUGGAAAAAGCUGAUAAAAAUCAGCAAAAACAAUGAGUAAAAAAGCAAAUUGAGUGAAGCGAGGUUAGUGGCGGACGGGUGAGUAACGCGUGAGCAACCUGCCUAUCAGAGGGGGACAACAUUGGGAAACCGGUGCUAAUACCGCAUAACAUUCAUGAAUCGCAUGGUUUAUGAAUCAAAUAUUUAUAGCUGAUAGAUGGGCUCGCGUCCGAUUAGGUAGUUGGUGGGGUAAAGGCCUACCAAGCCGACGAUCGGUAGCCGGACUGAGAGGUUGAACGGCCACAUUGGGACUGAGACACGGCCCAGACUCCUACGGGAGGCAGCAGUGGGGGAUAUUGCACAAUGGGGGGAACCCUGAUGCAGCGACGCCGCGUGAGGGAAGAAGGUUUUCGGAUUGUAAACCUCUGUCAGCGGGGACGAUAAUGACGGUACCCGCAAAGGAAGCCACGGCUAACUACGUGCCAGCAGCCGCGGUAAUACGUAGGUGGCAAGCGUUGUCCGGAAUUACUGGGUGUAAAGGGAGUGUAGGCGGGACUUUAAGUCAGGUGUGAAAUUUCGCGGCUCAACCGCGUAAACUGCACUUGAAACUGGAGUUCUUGAGUGAGGCAGAGGCAAGCGGAAUUCCCGGUGUAGCGGUGGAAUGCGUAGAUAUCGGGAGGAACAUCUGUGGCGAAGGCGGCUUGCCGGGCCUUUACUGACGCUGAGGCUCGAAAGCGUGGGGAGCAAACAGGAUUAGAUACCCUGGUAGUCCACGCUGUAAACGAUGAUUACUAGGUGUGGGUGGAUUGAACCCAUCCGUGCCGGAGUUAACACAUUAAGUAAUCCACCUGGGGAGUACGGCCGCAAGGCUGAAACUCAAAGGAAUUGACGGGGGCCCGCACAAGCAGUGGAGUAUGUGGUUUAAUUCGAAGCAACGCGAAGAACCUUACCAAGUCUUGACAUCCUUCUGACAACCAUAGAGAUAUGGUCUCCCUUCGGGGCAGGAGUGACAGGUGGUGCAUGGUUGUCGUCAGCUCGUGUCGUGAGAUGUUGGGUUAAGUCCCGCAACGAGCGCAACCCUUAUUAUUAGUUGCUACAUUAAGAUGAGCACUCUAAUGAGACUGCCGUUGAUAAAACGGAGGAAGGUGGGGAUGACGUCAAAUCAUCAUGCCCUUUAUGACUUGGGCUACACACGUACUACAAUGGCGGCUAACAGAGGGAUGCGACAUGGCGACAUGAAGCGAACCCCGAAAAGCCGUCUCAGUUCGGAUUGCAGGCUGAAACUCGCCUGUAUGAAGUUGGAAUUGCUAGUAAUCGCGAAUCAGCAUGUCGCGGUGAAUACGUUCCCGGGCCUUGUACACACCGCCCGUCAAACCAUGAGAGUUGGCAACACCCGAAGUCGGUAGUCUAACCCGCAAGGGAAGGCGCCGCCGAAGGUGGGGUUGAUGAUUAGGGUUAAGUCGUAACAAGGUAGCCGUAUCGGAAGGUGCGGCUGGAUCACCUCCUUU